AGAAUCAACGCUGGCGGCGUGCCUAACACAUGCAAGUCGAACGAGAAAGUGGAGCAAUCCAUGAGUAAAGUGGCGACCGGGUGAGUAACACGUGACUAACCUACCUUCGAGUGGGGGAUAACCUCGGGAAAACCGAGGCUAAUACCGCAUAACAUCGCAAGAUCAAAGCAGCAAUGCGCUGGAAGAGGGGGUCGCGGCUGAUUAGCUAGUUGGCGGGGUAACGGCCCACCAAGGCGAAGAUCGGUAGCCGGCCUGAGAGGGCGCACGGCCACACUGGAACUGAAACACGGUCCAGACUCCUACGGGAGGCAGCAGUGGGGAAUUUUGCGCAAUGGGGGAAACCCUGACGCAGCAACGCCGCGUGGAGGAUGAAGCCCCUUGGGGCGUAAACUCCUUUCGACCAAGACGAUAAUGACGGUACUGGUGGAAGAAGCACCGGCUAACUCUGCGCCAGCAGCCGC
rnacentral:rRNA from 1 species